rnacentral:rRNA from 1 species
GAUGAACGCUGGCGGCGUGCCUAAUACAUGCAAGUCGAGCGAACUGAUUAGAAGCUUGCUUCUAUGACGUUAGCGGCGGACGGGUGAGUAACACGUGGGCAACCUGCCUGUAAGACUGGGAUAACUUCGGGAAACCGAAGCUAAUACCGGAUAGGAUCUUCUCCUUCAUGGGAGAUGAUUGAAAGAUGGUUUCGGCUACCACUUAUAGAUGGGCCCGCGGUGCAUUAGCUAGUUGGUGAGGUAACGGCUCACCAAGGCAACGAUGCAUAGCCGACCUGAGAGGGUGAUCGGCCACACUGGGACUGAGACACGGCCCAGACUCCUACGGGAGGCAGCAGUAGGGAAUCUUCCGCAAUGGACGAAAGUCUGACGGAGCAACGCCGCGUGAGUGAUGAAGGCUUUCGGGUCGUAAAACUCUGUUGUUAGGGAAGAACAAGUACGAGAGUAACUGCUCGUACCUUGACGGUACCUAACCAGAAAGCCACGGCUAACUACGUGCCAGCCGCCGCCGUAAUAC